rnacentral:rRNA from 1 species
UACGUAGGGUGCAAGCGUUAAUCGGAAUUACUGGGCGUAAAGCGUGCGCAGGCGGCUAUGCAAGACAGAUGUGAAAUCCCCGGGCUCAACCUGGGAACUGCAUUUGUGACUGCAUGGCUAGAGUACGGUAGAGGAAGGUGGAAUUCCCGGUGUAGCAGUGAAAUGCGUAGAUAUCGGGAGGAACACCAGUGGCGAAGGCGGCCUUCUGGACCAGUACUGACGCUCAUGCACGAAAGCGUGGGGAGCAAACAGG